AUGCAACGCGAAGAACCUUACCUGGUCUUGAACAUCCCUAGAAAUCCCUUGGAAACUUGGGAGUGCUUCCAUUAGGAGAAUCUGGAGACAGGUGCUGCAUGGCUGUCGUCAGCUCGUGUCGUGAGAUGUUGGGUUAAGUCCCGCAACGAGCGCAACCCUUGCCUUUAGUUGCCAGCAGUUCGGCUGGGCACUCUAAAGGGACUGCCGGUGCUAAACCGGAGGAAGGUGGGAUGACGUCAAGUCCUCAUGGCCUUUAUGACCAGGGCUACACACGUACUACAAUGGCCGAUACAAAGGGCAGCGACAUUGCGAAAUGAAGCCAAUCCCAUAAAUUCGGUCUCAGUCCGGAUUGGAGUCUGCAACUCGACUCCAUGAAGUUGGAAUCGCUAGUAAUCGUGGAUCAGCAUGCCACGGUGAAUACGUUCCCGGGCCUU
rnacentral:rRNA from 1 species